rnacentral:rRNA from 1 species
GGAAACCCAGUGUGAUUCGUCACACUAUCAUUAACUGAAUCCAUAGGUUAAUGAGGCGAACCGGGGGAACUGAAACAUCUAAGUACCCCGAGGAAAAGAAAUCAACCGAGAUUCCCCCAGUAGCGGCGAGCGAACGGGGAGGAGCCCAGAGCCUGAAUCAGCAUGUGUGUUAGUGGAAGCGUCUGGAAAGGUGCGCGAUACAGGGUGACAGCCCCGUACACAAAAGCGCAUGUGCUGUGAGCUCGAUGAGUAGGGCGGGACACGUGGUAUCCUGUCUGAAUAUGGGGGGACCAUCCUCCAAGGCUAAAUACUCCUGACUGACCGAUAGUGAACCAGUACCGUGAGGGAAAGGCGAAAAGAACCCCGGCGAGGGGAGUGAAAAAGAACCUGAAACCGUGUACGUACAAGCAGUGGGAGCACAGGUUUACCUGUGUGACUGCGUACCUUUUGUAUAAUGGGUCAGCGACUUAUAUUCUGUAGCAAGGUUAACCGAAUAGGGGAGCCGGAGGGAAACCGAGUCUUAAUUGGGCGU